rnacentral:rRNA from 1 species
GAUGAACGCUAGCGAUAGGCUUAACACAUGCAAGUCGAGGGGCAGCAUGGUCUUAGCUUGCUAAGACUGAUGGCGACCGGCGCACGGGUGCGUAACGCGUAUGCAACUUGCCUCACAGAGGGGGAUAACCCGUCGAAAGACGGACUAAUACCGCGUACACUCCAUCUUGGGCAUCCAAGGUAGAGGAAAUGAAAUUCGCUGUGAGAUAGGCAUGCGUCCCAUUAGCUAGUUGGUGAGGUAACGGCUCACCAAGGCGACGAUGGGUAGGGGAACUGAGAGGUUGAACCCCCACACUGGUACUGAGACACGGACCAGACUCCUACGGGAGGCAGCAGUGAGGAAUAUUGGUCAAUGGGCGAGAGCCUGAACCAGCCAAGUCGCGUGAAGGAUGACUGUCUUAUGGAUGGUAAACUUCUUUUAUACGGGAAUAACAAGAGUCACGUGUGACUCCCUGCAUGUACCGUAUGAAUAAGCAUCGGCUAACUCCGUG